rnacentral:lncRNA from 1 species
AUCUCUGUGGCCAGAUUGGAUUUCCUCCUCUUCAGCGAGCGAGGCAGCUAGCAACUUGGAUCUCAUCACAACCAACUUUAAUCUGGAGCUUUGGUGGUCCACCUUCCCUGUGGCCGAUCUGGUUACUCUAUUGACAGUGGACAGGACAUGGACGUCUCGUUUGUCAUGCCACUUUACUGCCAGCUGUUGACCAUUCUCCUUGAACUCCACCUCCCCUCUCUGCAUCUUCCUGCAUCCGAAUGCCGGCAUCCCCUUCCUGUUCGACCUUACUGUGCCACAGGUCCCUGUGCUGUUGGAGAGCAGAUGCUGGAAGAGUGUGGGACUGCUGUACCAAUUGUCCACAUACAAGGUGUGUCCCUUGCCGAGAUGAGGAGCCAGCAUGGUCAUCACUACAGACCUGGACACCCCAAGCCCCUCAUAAUGUUGGAUGUCAGUGGUGGACCCUGUGUAAACUAUAAUGUCAUGGACAAAUCCUGUCUUCACGUCAUACAUAACAAAGAACUUGACCCCAAACCUGUGUCUUUUGGAGGGAAUAUAUUGACGGAAUGCCAGCCUACCUUUCCAU